rnacentral:rRNA from 1 species
AUUGAACGCUGGCGGCAGGCCUAACACAUGCAAGUCGAGCGGAUGAAGGGAGCUUGCUCCUGGAUUCAGCGGCGGACGGGUGAGUAAUGCCUAGGAAUCUGCCUGGUAGUGGGGGAUAACGUCCGGAAACGGGCGCUAAUACCGCAUACGUCCUGAGGGAGAAAGUGGGGGAUCUUCGGACCUCACGCUAUCAGAUGAGCCUAGGUCGGAUUAGCUAGUUGGUGGGGUAAAGGCCUACCAAGGCGACGAUCCGUAACUGGUCUGAGAGGAUGAUCAGUCACACUGGAACUGAGACACGGUCCAGACUACUACGGGAGGCAGCAGUAGGGAAUAUUGGACAAUGGGCGAAAGCCUGAUCCAGACAUGCCGCGUGUGUGAAGAAGGUCUUCGGAUUGUAAAGCACUUUAAGUUGGGAGGAAGGGCAGUAAGUUAAUACCUUGCUGUUUUGACGUUACAAACAGAAUAAGCACCGGCUAACUUCGUG